rnacentral:lncRNA from 1 species
CUGGAGAGAAAAAAAUAUGCUAACCAAAAAAAAAAAAACCAUAGUACACUCUUGUUAGCUGUUCGUAAGGUUUUUUUUUUUUCUGUGGUUUAGAUUAAAUUCUUUCUGGAUUUGAAGUCCUCAAACUAAUGCUUUCAAAUCUUUGCUUUUAAAAUUAAGAAUUGUACUCCUCAUUCUAGGACUUAUUUACCUUACAGUAUGCUGUUCACGUAAAUACUGUACUAAAACUAUAGCUGAAAGUACUAACGUGUUUACCACGCAAGCCUUGAAAGCCAAGCCAUGUUGGCGUGAGCACACUCAGACAGUUGCAAAGCGGUCCCAUUCUUCUCACCUUGGGGUUCACUCCCAUUCCCACUAUGUCCCGUCAGCAGAAGAAGCCAGAGUAAUCAACGGCCUUUUCCCAUCUUCAUAGCCUACACCUUAAGAUUAAGGUGUUAUAAAACUCAAAGGGAAGAAUUGAAACUUUCUUCACUAAAUUAUGACUGAGACAGUGAAAAAGAUCUAACUUAACUGACUCCAUCUUGCUUUUAACCUCCAAGCUGUCCUUGUUCAUUCCUGAGCAUGGGGUGAACCAACUUUUCAGAGAAACUUAGUUUAUAGUUUAAACAAAGACUGUAACAGCCCUUUCCCAAAGCAGACGCCCUUCUUGCCUGGGGACUAGAUUGCCUUUGUAGGACUAACAUUAGCCACAAGAUUAGAAAUUAUGGUUUAGGAGUCAUGCAGCUGGAGGCUACAAGAUUUUGACCCUCCCUAAACUGCUCCUAAGAUCAAUGCUUGAGAUAUUUUGCAGGCCCUGCACUUGAUGGAUCAGCUGGCACCACCCAGAUGGGUAAACUGACUCACCUGAUCUUGUGGCCCCCACACAGGAACUGACUCAGCAUAAGACAGCUGCAACUCCCUAUGAUUUCAUCUCUGACCAAUCAGCACUCCUGGCUCACUGCUGUCCCCCCACCCACCAAGUUAUCCAUAAAAACUCUGUUCCCCGAAUGCUCGGGGAGACUGAUUUGAAUGAUAACAAAACUCCAGUCUCCUGCACAGCCGGCUCUGCGUGAAUUACUCUUUCUGUACUGCAAUUCCCCUGUCUUGAUGAAUCGCCUCUGUCUAGGCAUUGGGCAAGAUAAACCCCUUGGGCAGUUAUUAUAACUACCAAUUAUUGAGAAUUUUCUAUGUAAAUUUCACUCUAUGAGAAAGGUCCUACUAUUAUCUUCAAGUUAUGAAUGAAGAAACCGAAGCUCUGGGAAAUUAAGCUACUUUCCCAGUCCACAGAGCUAGUAAAUGGUGGAACCAGGCUGUAUUUGAACUCAUUUCUCCCAGACUCCAAAGCAAAGCUACUACACGCUGCUGCUUCACAUUCACUGUAUUGUUUGAAGCAAGUCGCUGAAAAUGUCUACUUUUUCAUAAAAUGAGGCUGAUCCACAUUGACUUUGUCUACUUUCACAAAGUGGCUGGGAUUCUCAAAGUAGAUAAUAUGAGUGAAAAUGUUUUGAAAACUCUUCAGGCUCUCUCACUUUAUACGGUAUUAUUUCCACUUCUGCUUCUAGCAGGCGCUGUCUGGUUCCUAAGUCUCUCCAUGUGGAGCUGAGCUACUAUUUUUGGCCUUCCAAGCUGUUUUCGUUUUUCACCAGAAUGCAUGCUCCAUUUGGGUAAUGGUAACAGAUGUGACAAUGGGAACAAAACUCCUACCAGCCACAUUCUAACCCAAACAUCCCAGGAGCCACUUCCAGCACUCAUCUCUUCACUUCCGCUCCGAGACAGGGAAAUGUGAGAAUACAGGGCUCUGCUUCACCGUCUUUUACUAGCCUUGAUCAUUUCUGAUAAGUGUUCCUGGUCAUCACUUUUCCUUUCUACAUCUUUGAGUUCUGGUGUGUUGUCCAUAUUAUAUUACUAAAGGUCCACAGGGGAAGAGUGAUUUGACGAAGGUUAAGAAAUAAUUAUAAGAAAAUGUUUUGACAUUACGUUAAUGCCUG